rnacentral:rRNA from 1 species
CCUGGCCGUAAACGAUGAACACUAGGUGUCGGGGGAAUCGACCCCCUCGGUGUCGUAGCCAACGCGUUAAGUGUUCCGCCUGGGGAGUACGCACGCAAGUGUGAAACUCAAAGGAAUUGACGGGGGCCCGCACAAGCGGUGGAGUAUGUGGUUUAAUUCGAUGCAACGCGAAGAACCUUACCAGGGUUUGACAUCCUGCGAACCUCUUGGAAACGAGAGGGUGCCUUCGGGAGCGCAGUGACAGGUGGUGCAUGGCUGUCGUCAGCUCGUGUCGUGAGAUGUUGGGUUAAGUCCCGCAACGAGCGCAACCCACGUCUUUAGUUGCCAGCAUUUAGUUGGGCACUCUAGAGAGACCGCCGGUGAUAAACCGGAGGAAGGUGUGGAUGACGUCAAGUCAUCAUGCCCCUUACAUCCUGGGCUACACACGUACUACAAUGCUACGGACAAAGAGCAGCAAGUUCGCGAGGACAAGCAAAUCUCAUAAACCGUGGCUCAGUUCAGAUCGUAGGCUGCAACUCGCCUACGUGAAGGAGGAAUCGCUAGUAAUCGCAGGUCAGCAUACUGCGGUGAAUACGUUCCCGGGCCUUGUACACACCGCCCGUCACACCAUGGAAGUUGGCCACGCCCGAAGCCGUUACUCCAACCCUUGUGGAGGAGGACGUCGAAGGUGGGGCUGAUGACUGGGGUGAAGUCGUAACAAGGUAACCGUA